rnacentral:rRNA from 1 species
UACGUAGGGUGCGAGCGUUAAUCGGAAUUACUGGGCGUAAAGCGUGCGCAGGCGGUAAGUUAAGUCUGAUGUGAAAGCCCCGGGCUCAACCUGGGAACGGCAUUGGAAACUGGCUUGCUGGAGUGUGGCAGAGGGGGGUGGAAUUCCGCGUGUAGCAGUGAAAUGCGUAGAGAUGCGGAGGAACACCGAUGGCGAAGGCAGCCCCCUGGGCCAACACUGACGCUCAGGCACGAAAGCGUGGGGAGCAAACAGG